rnacentral:rRNA from 1 species
UACGUAGGGGGCAAGCGUUGUCCGGAUUUACUGGGCGUAAAGAGCGUGUAGGCGGCCACGCAGGUCCGUUGUGAAAACUGGAGGCUCAACCUCCAGCUGUCGACGGAAACCGUGUGGCUAGAGUCCGGAAGAGGAGAGUGGAAUUCCUGGUGUAGCGGUGAAAUGCGCAGAUAUCAGGAAGAACACCAAUGGCGAAGGCAGCUCUCUGGCCCGGUACUGACGCUGAGGUGCGAAAGCGUGGGGAGCAAACAGG